AGGGAGAAGGUGGUGGGUUGUGUGAGUUCAAAAGAACACGGCCCCCAAGGACUGGCCAAUUGGAGUUAAGAGAAGCCCAGAUGAAACAUAAUCUGCUUCCGGAGGAGCUUAGCAUUACAACAUUACCUUCCCAAUGACCGGCAUAAACAGAAGCUUUUGACAAAACAGACAACAUAAUCACAGCCCGGAGCACCAGCACCUGAGGAUAAGUACUGUUAGAACCACUUUUGAACAUUUUAUCCUUCCAACGCUCUGUGCCCAGGCAGGUCUCGGGAAAAUCCUUGUGUUAUAGAAACUAGUGAAUACUUGCAUGGAGGGGGCAGAUUUUAAUAUCUAUUCCCAUUUCCAUAAUUACACAAGCUCUUCUUUCUAAGGUCAUGUAAAUACUUUAAUGUUUGUGGUGAUCUCAUGCCGAUAGUUACUGAGGGUACCAGUGAUCCCGACUUUACUGAAACCUAUGGUUUGCUAAGCCUCAGGUGACUCUGGAUCUGGCCAUAUUUCAAGGAAAGGCUGGUCGGGACAAAUGGACUGAUGUCCGUGCACACAGAAUCCCUUGUCCAGGUUUGACCAGGCUGUGAUGCUGUGGGUGCUGUGGGCACUGGGGGCACUGGGGGCACUGUGAGCUUUGUAACCAUGGAUUCUCUCAGAGGAAAUCAAAAUGUUGAAUCAUUUCACUCUUCCUCAUUACUGAAGUCUUCCAAACAGGGAGAAUGUUCAACCCUGGGGCCCUGGAGACGAUGACAGGAGAGCCUUGUUUCCUGUUUGAUGAAAUUCUCCUAAACCUCACAGCCAAGAGGUUUUGUAGCAACAGCACGAGGUAUUGACUCACUAAACUGGAGUGAGGCUUCGACCGGAUGUGGUUCGACACCCCUUAUUGAGAAGAAAGCCAUAUUACAGGAACUUUCUCCUUAGCUGCCCUCAGACUCACAGAGAUCCACAUGCCUCUGCGUCCCCUGUGCUGGGAUUGGAGGUGUUAGCCACUGUACCUGAUCUACAGAUAUAUUUUUACGCCCUAGUCAUGAGGAAGCUGUACGGAGACCCUCAUUUCUGGAUCAUCAGGAAAACUCUCAGACUGGGCCAGUGAAAUCUGCUGACAAGUCCCCAAGGUCAUCUGUGUUUAUCCCUGCUCUGGAGACCCUCUGCCAUCCAAAGGGUCUCUGAGGGAAAUCUCAAGAAGGGCCGAAAUGGCAAGAGAGAGGCGGGAGCAGACGGUGCAGGCCUUCAGCUGCACAGAGGCUGAGGCAGGAGGAGCCCGAGGCCAGGGCUUUCUGCAGCUGCUUAGUGAGAACCUGUGUGUAACCUGUGUGUAGACACAGAGCAGAAGGAGGGGCUGAGGAGGAGGCUCCGUGGCAGAGCGUUCAUCUAGGAUGUGAGAGGCCCCGGGUUCAAUUCCCUGCCACCUCCCCAUGCCACAGAACAAGCAAACAAUAAAAAGAGACCUAAAUACUC